rnacentral:rRNA from 1 species
AUUGAACGCUGGCGGCAGGCCUAACACAUGCAAGUCGAACGGUAACAGGAAGAAGCUUGCUUCUUUGCUGACGAGUGGCGGACGGGUGAGUAAUGUCUGGGAAACUGCCUGAUGGAGGGGGAUAACUACUGGAAACGGUAGCUAAUACCGCAUAACGUCGCAAGACCAAAGAGGGGGACCUUCGGGCCUCUUGCCAUCGGAUGUGCCCAGAAGGGAUUAGCUAGUAGGUGGGGUAACGGCUCACCUAGGCGACGAUCCCUAGCUGGUCUGAGAGGAUGACCAGCCACACUGGAACUGAGACACGGUCCAGACUCCUACGGGAGGCAGCAGUGGGGAAUAUUGCACAAUGGGCGCAAGCCUGAUGCAGCCAUGCCGCGUGUAUGAAGAAGGCCUUCGGGUUGUAAAGUACUUUCAGCGGGGAGGAAGGGAGUAAAGUUAAUACCUUUGCUCAUUGACGUUACCCGCAGAAGAAGCACCGGCUAACUCCGUG